AGAUAUUUGCGUUAUAUAAGAAAUAAUAAAAUAUAGAAUAUAGUGAGUGAAAUUUCUUAUUUAAAUUUACUCAUACUGCCUUUUUUUUUGACAGGUUUCUCUCUGUUGCUCAGGCUGGAGUGCAGUUCUACAAUCAGGGCUCACUGCAGCCUCUGCCUCCUGGGCUCAAGUGAUCUCCCACCUCAGCCUCCAGAGUAGCUGCUACAGGCAUGUGCCACCCCACAGCAGGCUAAUUAAAAAAAAAAUGUAGAGAUGGUGUCUCCCUGUGUUGCCCAGGCUGAUCUCCAACUCCUGUUCUCAAGCAGUACCUCCCUCUUGGCCUCCAAAGUGCUUGGAUUACAAACGCGAGCCACCACAUUGGACUUCAACAUUGCCUUGUGCAAACAUUUUACUAUCAAAGGAGAGGAUUUGUUUAUUAUCUUCAGGAAAUCAGAUUUCUCCCCCUCUGGCAAAAGAAAAGGAAAAUGUAUAAGUACAAAACCUCUUGAGAACCUUUCUGGAAUCAAUAGCCACAGAUGCGUCUGUUACUUGUGUUUUUCACAGGCAAGCCCUCUAGCUGGCUCAAUAAACCUCAAUUGAUUGGGACAACUGCCUCGGUCACUCAAUUUGGUUGUCGAAUUGAUACCACUACACCCUUACCAGGUAAUUAAAAAGGCUGAAAUCAUCGAACAUGUUGAGAAUUGAAA
rnacentral:lncRNA from 1 species